AGAACGAACGCUGGCGGCAGGCCUCAAACAUGCAAGUCUAGGGGGUGUAGCAAUACAUCACCGGCGGACGGGUGCGUAACACGUGGGAAUAUACCUUUUGGUUCGGAACAACGCAGGGAAACUUGCGCUAAUACCGAAUGUGCCCUUACGGGGAAAGAUUAAUCGCCAAAGGAUUAGCCCGCGUAGGAUUAGCUAGUUGGUGAGGUAAUGGCUCACCAAGGCUCCGAUCCUUAGCUGUUCUGAGAGGAAGAUCAGCCACACUGGGACUGAGACACGGCCCAGACUCCUACGGGAGGCAGCAGUUGGGAAUCUUGGACAAUGGGGGAAACCCUGAUCCAGCCAUGCCGCGUGAGUGAUGAAGGCCUUCAGGUUGUAAAACUCUUUCGACGGGGACGAUAAUGACGGUACCCGUAGAAGAAGCUCCGGCUAACUUCGCGCCAGCAGCCGC
rnacentral:rRNA from 1 species